rnacentral:rRNA from 1 species
UUAGAGUUUGAUCAUGGCUCAGAUUGAACGCUGGCGGCAGGCCUAACACAUGCAAGUCGGACGGUAGCACAGAGGAGCUUGCUCCUCGGGUGACGAGUGGCGGACGGGUGAGUAAUGUCUGGGUGCCCGAUAGAGGGGGAUAACCACUGGAAACGGUGGCUAAUACCGCAUAACGUGAUCCGCAAGACCAAAGAGGGGGACCUUCGGGCCUCUCACUAUCAGAUGAACCCAGAUGGGAUUAGCUAGUAGGCGGGGUAACGGCCCACCUAGGCGACGAUCCCUAGCUGGUCUGAGAGGAUGACCAGCCACACUGGAACUGAGACACGGUCCAGACUCCUACGGGAGGCAGCAGUGGGGAAUAUUUCACAAUGGGCGCAAGCCUGAUGCAGC